CAUUUUCUCAUGAAAAUAAAAAACACACAAGGGAAGACAAACGAACACAGAGACAGACAAAGGCGCCCAACGUGGAGUAAAAAGAUGGAAAAAAAACUCUCCCCUCUCCGGCGCUGACCUGAAACUAUAAACCAAAAGGGUGUUUCCCUAUUUAAUAUAUGCAAAGAAGGCGUUCUGCUCUUCGCCCAAUUAGAACUCCCUCAGGCCCCCAGAAAAAGCCGGGACUCCCUGAUUUAUAGCAAAGGUGUCUGUUUUUUAUCUAAGCAAAAGGCGAACUACCCCGUGGUCAUCUCUGCCUGGUACGGAAGAUCUCUGGCGCCAAGAAGUCUCUGACCCCUUUCGGGCUGUAAAUUUUAUUGCUCUGUGUGUGGGGGAGGCAAAAGGGCCCUGCUUUGUUUGAAUGUCUACUAUUGUGAGCUCCCCCAUGCUCCACAGAAAACUGUUCCAAAUAAAGUGUUGACUAUCCCUUUACACAUGUCAUAAGAUUAAGUGUAUUUUUAGCAUUAAAUAAUCAUUUUCCUUAGCAAUCCCCCUUUUGAGGUCUUUUUCAAAAGACCUCAAUAAAAAUUGAGUAAGCCUUCUAAUACAGAAGCAAAACUAUGUAUGAAAAAACGAAAAAACCGAAAAAUAAAAAGACAAAAAAAAAAUAAAUAAAAUGACGUACCCUAAUUCUAUACAAUCCCCCUUUGUAAACAAAACCCAAGGUGUAGAAAGACUUAUCCUUUCAAAGUGUAAAAUCAUAAAAGAAAAUCAUCACAAUCCUACCAAAACACAGGACAAACAAAAACCCAAAGUGUAAAACAAAAAUAAAACAGGGACAUACAUAGAAAAAAUUAGUAAGAAAUAGCCUGCAACUUAAAGGACAUCAUUCACCACAAAAUUACAAUCUGCUGCUCAAAAAUGAGAAACAAACAAAAUA